rnacentral:rRNA from 1 species
GAACAGACCGUCUCCAAUGAGCUCCUGCACACACUGGGGUAUUUAAUUCAACAUCGAGGUCACAAACGCUUAUUCUGAUAAGAACUCUUUUAAGCAUAAUGCUGUUAUCCCUAGAGGAGCUUAUUCAUAAUUCCAGAAGGAUAAGUUUGAACAAAUCUAUAUUAAUAUAAUUAUUAAAUUUUACCCCAAAAAAUAGACCUACUACUAUGAAAUAAUUA